ACAUGCAAGUCGAACGGUAAGGUCUCGCUUGCGAGAUACACGAGUGGCGCACGGGUGAGUAACGCGUAUGCAACAUACCUAUAACUAGAGCAUAGCUCCGAGAAAUCGGAAUUAAUACUCUAUAAUAUCUAUAAAAGGCAUCUUUUUAAGAUUAAAGUUCCGGCGGUUAUAGAUUGGCAUGCGUAACAUUAGCUUGUUGGUGAGGUAACGGCUCACCAAGGCAACGAUGUUUAUGGGGUCUGAGAGGAUGAUCCCACACACUGGUACUGAGACACGGACCAGACUCCUACGGGAGGCAGCAGUGAGGAAUAUUGGGCAAUGGGCGAAAGCCUGACCCAGCCAUGCCGCGUGCAGGAUGACAGUCCUAGUGAUUGUAAACUGCUUUUAAACGAGAAGAAACCCCCGGACGUGUUCGGGGCUGACGGUAUCGUAAGAAUAAGGAUCGGCUAACUCCGUGCCAGCAGCCGCGGUAAUACGGAGGAUCCAAGUGUUAUCCGGAUUUAUUGGGCCUAAAGGGUGCGCAGGCGGGGCAAUUAGUCAGUGGUGAAAUCCUGCAGCUUAACUGUAGAACUGCCAUUGAUACUGUUGCUCUUGAGUGCAGUUGAGGUAAGUGGAACGUGUAAUGUAGCGGUGAAAUGCAUAGAUAUUACACAGAACACCGAUUGCGAAGGCAGCUUACUAAACUGUUACUGACGCUCAGGCACGAAAGCGUGGGGAGCGAACAGGAUUAGAUACCCUGGUAGUCCACGCUGUAAACGUUGAUUACUCGAUGUGUGCGAUAAACAGUACGCGUCCUAGCGAAAGCAUUAAGUAAUCCGCCUGGCGACUACGAUCGCA
rnacentral:rRNA from 1 species